GGCUUGUCCCGCAGGGCCGGUGCGAAGGGGUGGGGAGAAGUGCCGCGGUGGGCUGUCGGGUGCCCUGCGUCCCGUGCGGGCCGGGGCGAGAGGAGGGCGGCAUGCUGCUUCACCUGGUAGCCGAGUUUGACCUGCAGAGGGAUGUGGUCCCCUGGCUGGCGGCGCGGGGCUGGGCUGCGGCUCUAGAUACUUCUGAGAAUUCAUCAGCACUCUACAUUGUAAAUGUUGAAAGAAAUGGAAAAAUUAUUUAUACCUGGAAGGGAAAUCAGAGAAAUACUCACAUCGGAUUGUAUGAUCUUCAAACUAAACAAAAUGAGCACCUCUAUACGUUUGAGAGGGAUCUCCACAUAAUCAGUUCUUCAGUCAACAAUGAGAGGACAUUAUUGGCGGUCAGCUUCCGUCAAUAUACCGAGGAAGAAAGAGUAAGUCAGCUGUUGCAGUCAGUAUCCAAGUAUUUAACCUUGCUAAUUGAAAUUCAUCCCAUUAAUAAUGUGAGAGUCCUAAAGGCUGUGGAUAGCUGUGUUCGAGUACAGUUUCUUUAUCCAGUUGAAGGCAGAAAUACGUCUACAGAAAGUCACCUCUUGCUAAUUUCAGAAGAUAAAUAUAUUGAGCAAUUUGACAUUCGGGUAGUUGCAGAAGAAGAACACAAAGUGGUCAUUCAAAACUCUGGUCAGCUUCCGAGAGCCAGAGUUGCAGAUGAUCUCAUUUGGGCACAGUGGGAUAUGAUGGAACAAAGGCUCUUCUACAUGGUUCCAAAGGAAUCAAAGAGUACUUUAAAAUGUGUCCAGUUUUAUCCUGAUGAAAAUUUUAACUCAAUACUGGAAUCGCACCUGGAUAUUUCCAUUCCUGACACACAAUUAAAGCUUGUGAAUUUCGGCUAUGAUUACUGUGAAGACCAAGAUGUUGCAUCUAAAUCUUUGAAUCUUCAGGUUUUCACAAGCAAAGCAGGAGGCUUGUGUGUGUGUUGUAGCCUAGCUUCUGAUACUCCUGAUGAAAUAACAUACUCCAUAUAUUUCUUACAUAAAGGUUACAACAAAACUUUUACAGUUUCUCUAGAAAGAACAGAGUCUCAUCAAUUGAAGGAAGUGGCUUUUAUAAAUCUUGACUAUUAUGUGGCUGCUUAUUUGCCUGGCCAGUUCCUGCACCUCCUGAAUAUUCAGCAUCCCGACCUCCUGUGCUAUAGUUUGUUUCUGACAGGUGAGGAUGCAAAAAUUGACAUGUUGCAGAACUGCUCCAUCCGAUGCCCACUCAUGUCAACAGUCUUGGAUUGCCACAUAGGAAGUAUGUAUGCCGUGAGCAUCAGUGAGAGCGCCUUACUACACCUCCUACAGAACAGCAAACGAGACAACGAGAGGUUGGCAGCUCUACAUUGUGCCCUGUUGUACUUCCAACACACAGAAGACUUGGAAAUGCAGAUUAUUUGGUGGAUUUCUGAGAACCUGUCAACAUGUCAUUCUUUUGACCCCAUUCAAGAAUUUAUCAUCGCCUCACUGUACUGCAGAAUGUGUCCAGAAACUCACAACCUGGAUAAACUUUUGCCCUACACAUCACUGCUUGACUGGAUUGGGAUUAUCCCUGGAGUAACAUGUGCAACAGACAUUAUUCCUCUACCUGUGUUAGAGUUCCAAAACUCCAAAGACUUCUGGAAGAAACUCAACUCAAACUUGGAGAGUGUGAAGUAUGCAGAGCCACACUUGCAUUACCACAAUAGUGUGCUCAGGAGGGAAUGGCGCAGCCUUUCAGAAGAGCAGAGAGAGGAGAGACCCACCACGGCCUAUUUGAGGAAUAUUUUUGAAAAUGCCAGAAAGGUGCUUUCUCAUCUGGACACAUGGGAUUCUGAGGAAAGGCUAGUGCCGCUCUUUCAAGAGGAAGAUUAUCAGCAGCAAUUACUAAUGGGACUGAUGGUUGCUCAGCUAAAGGAUCACCUUAUGAGACAUCUGCAGUAUGUAGGAAAAAAGAAGAUUGACCAAAUAGUUUUGGAUUACGUUGCAAACCUGCUGAAUCUGGUGCAUCAAAUAAUGAAAGAAGUUUGGAGGAGACACCAUCUUCAUUCCUGCAUCUUCUGCUUCAAUGAGAGAGGAAGUGCAGGGGAGUUUGCAGUGUUCCACAUCAUGAGUCGGAUUCUGGAAGCUGCAAAUGGCAUGUGCCUGCCUUUACCUCCUGGUUUUCACACUCUGCACUUGGGGCUCGGUGUUCGAUGUCUCCCUCUGCACACCCUCCUGCACUACAUUGAUAACGGAGUCUUGCAUUUGACAGAAACCUGUGUCAGGAAAUUGCUGAAAGACCUGGACGACACUGAGAAGAAUGAAAAGCUGAAGUUCAGUAUUGUCAUGAGGCUUCCCGAGGUUUCCCCUGUCCUGUGUUUAUGUUCUCAGGUUUGGGGGUUUGUUUUUUGCUUGCUAGGCUCUUGGUCAGAAGGUCCGACAGGUUUGGGAUCAUCCAAUAAACGCUAAUUUAAUGGCACGGAAAUACGUGAAGCUCUUGCUCGAGAAGCUGGGGAACAGGCAGUGUAGCAGGCCUGUCCCUGAGAGGCUCUCGGUCCCUGUAGAGUUUUUGCCGCUUAACUACCUGACCAGUGUGUUGGCAGAGAUAGAGAAUCAAGGUGUGCAGCCACAUGAGAAACCAGAGCACAUUCAUGUGAGAUUUGUUGAGGAAACGGCACUGAAACACACCAUGACGCUUUUGGGCCUCAAAUAUUCCUGAAGUCACCUCUCCUGGAGAAGGCUGCCUAGCUGUGGUUCUCAUCAGAAGUACUCCCAGGUCAUCUGCAGCUUUGGGAAGCCACCAUUACAGACAUAAGCUGCUUAAAGCAGUGUUUGGUCCAACGUAUUAACAGUGAAAUUACUGACUUUGAGAUACAUCUUACAGAAAUGCAUCUGACACAACCGCAGGUUUGAAAGGUGUCUGUGGUUUCGUUUUGAAGUGAUCAAAUAAGUGGAGCUACAGCGAGUAUCAAAACAUGCGGUGAAAAUUGGUAUCGGUGUCAGUUAUUUUAGCAGCUAGACAAUCCUGGAAAAGGUAGUCCAGUGGUAUUGUGCUGUAACGAGGCCAGUAAUAUUUACUCAUUUAGAUUAAUAAAAGUAUUUCGUGGUGUGAUUGUGUGAAGCAGGUAAGAAUAACAAACGAAUCAGUUCUUGUAUAUAAUGCAUCAGUAAUGACGUGUUCGAGCCUUGUGCUGGCCACGUGUUACCUCACGGUACUGCUGCCUUUGGAGUUGGGUUCUAGUGUAUUCAGUUUCAUAAUUAGCACAAAAUAUAAUCUCCUUAAAGAGCACGAGGCAUGGUUCUGUUGUUUGUUUGUUAAGAUGUGUGUAAUAUAUUGUAAGCAAGACAGGAUAAGAAAGUUCUGUAGAAAUUUAUCUUAACAGUAGCUUGGAUGAAGUUUUACUUAUUUUUUUCCAUACAACUUUCAUGCUACAGUGCAAACCUCAGCUUCAGAAGGAAAUUAUGGAGGUUGCCUUUCCUUCAUUUUCAGCUGUUAUUUGUACAAAAGUCCAGUGUUGCUUGGUUGGUUGGUGUUGGUUUAAGUUCUGAACUGUGACAUUAAUUUACAACAGUAAUAGUGGUUUGCUAUGCAGAGAAAGUUUUAAGUUCUGACAUACAGGAUUUCUGCAGUCUCCAUUGGAUUGAAAAACAACUUUAUCAAAGCUUCAGACAAUUAAACUAAUGAAACUCAUUGCCAAGUUCAUAGAUGUUGGAGGUUUUCAGGAACAACCUCUGGUGCUCUCUCUGAGGAGUUUUCACUGGUGCUUCCUGUUCCUUACCAAUGAAAUCAAAAGGUCCUGUUCUCAGGAGUGACUCAGAAGUUCAUGGUCAUUCCCUUGUCGUUACCAUCAGUGGAGCAAUAGUUUUAGCCUUCCCAGGAACUCCACAGAGGGAAGGAAUAUUUUCCUCAGUACAACUAAAAUUCGUCUGGCCAGUGUAAAGUCCAGUCCCAGGCUGCAGAAAGCUGUGCUGGUGUGUUUGUGUAAGCGGUGGGGACUUUGUAUCACAGGAAUAACACGAGAAGAUUUUCUAGCAUUUUCUUUUUAAUGAAAUGUAUUAGAAAAUAUCAUCAAAUGCAAUAAAACUUCACCUGGAAAAAAUAAA